AUGGCUCAGGAUGAACGCUAGCGACAGGCCUAACACAUGCAAGUCGAGGGGCAGCGCGGGAGAAGCUUGCUUUCCUGGCGGCGACCGGCGCACGGGUGCGUAACAGGUGUGCAAUCUGUCCAUAGUCGGGGGAUAGCCCAGCGAAAGCUGAAUUAAUACUCCAUGUGAAUCGAAGCCGCAUGACUUUGAUUUGAAACGCAAGGACUAUGGGUGAGCACGCUUCUGAUUAGGUAGUUGGUGGGGUAACGGCCCACCAAGCCGACGAUCAGUAGGGUUCUGAGAGGAAGGUCCCCCACAUUGGAACUGAGACACGGUCCAAACUCCUACGGGAGGCAGCAGUGAGGAAUAUUGGUCAAUGGGCGAGAGCCUGAACCAGCCAAGUCGCGUGAAGGAUGAAGGUUCUAUGGAUUGUAAACUUCUUUUGUCCGAGGGUAAAAAGGCCACGUGUGGCUUCUUGCAAGUAUCGGACGAAUAGGCAUCGGCUAACUCCGUGCCAGCAGCCGC
rnacentral:rRNA from 1 species